rnacentral:rRNA from 1 species
CAGCAGCCGCGGUAAUACGUAGGGGGCAAGCGUUAUCCGGAAUCACUGGGCGUAAAGGGUGCGUAGGCGGCCAAUAAAGUCAGAGGUGAAAGCCCACGGCUCAACCGUGGUAAGCCUUUGAAACUUAAUGGCUUGAGUGCAGGAGAGGAGAGUGGAAUUCCUAGUGUAGCGGUGAAAUGCGUAGAUAUUAGGAGGAACACCAGUGGCGAAGGCGACUCUCUGGACUGUAACUGACGCUGAGGCACGAAAGCGUGGGUAGCAAACAGGAUUAGAUACCCUGGUAGUCCACGCCGUAAACGAUGAGUGCUAGGUGUUGGGGGUCAAACCUCAGUGCCGCAGUUAACGCAUUAAGCACUCCGCCUGGGGAGUACGUUCGCAAGAAUGAAACUCAAAGGAAUUGACGGGGACCCGCACAAGCAGCGGAGCAUGUGGUUUAAUUCGAAGCAACGCGAAGAACCUUACCUGGACUUGACAUCCCUUGGACCGCUUUGUAAUGAAAGCUUUCCCUUCGGGGACCAAGGAGACAGGUGGUGCAUGGCC